rnacentral:rRNA from 1 species
GACGAACGCUGGCGGCGUGCUUAACACAUGCAAGUCGAACGGAAAGGCGCUGCUUUUGUUGCGUGCUCGAUUGGCGAACGGGUGAGUAAAACAUGAGUAACAUCCCCUUAACUUUGUGAUAUCUCUAGGAAACUGGGGCUAUUACCGGGUAUGAGCUCCUGCAGCAUGUGGGGGGUUGGAAAGAUUCGGCGGUGGGGGCUUGACUCGCUGCUUCUCCGCUGGAUGGUGGGGUAGUGGCUUUCCAAGCCUAUGAAGGGUAGCCUGCAUAAGAGGGUGACCGGCCACAAUGGUCCUGCGGUAGGGCCCAGAAUCCUACGGGAGGCAGCAGUGGGGAAUAUUGCAGAAUGGGCGGAAGCCUGAUGCAGCAACGCCGCGUGCGGGAUGCCGGCUUUCGGGUUGUAAACCGAUUUCGCAUGUGACGAAGCCUGCGUGACGGUAAUGGGUCAAGAAGCACCGGCUAACUACGUG